CCCAAUUCAUCAUUCCACUCUCUUCACGCUUAUCCCCGCCAAUUUCACUAUCACCAGCUAUAAAUAGCUCAAUGCAGUGCCUCUAACAUGUGUACCAAGCUUGACGAUUUCACUAGAGUUUGAGAAAUGGGUAAUUACAGUUUGAAGUGCUUGUUGCUAUCUGGUUUGCUUGUUUCAACCAUUGCCAUGCAACUUUCCGAAGGUCGAGUGGCAAGAAAAGACCUCGGGAUAGACCUUGGAGGUGUUGCUGUUGGAAUCGGUACCGGGGGUGGCAUUGGUCUUGGUGGGAGUGGUUCAGGCGCCGGCGCAGGAUCUGGGUCUGGGUCUGGAUCCGGAUCAAGUUCGGAGUCAAGUUCAAGCUCAUAUUCUUCCUCAAGGUCAAAUUCAGGGUCAGGAUCAUCGGGUGGGGGUCUGAAGCUGGUUCUUCUGCUGGAUCUUAUGCUGGGUCUAGGGCUGGAUCAAGCUCCGGGAAUCAAGGCCAUGGAUAAGUUUCUUCCGAUCCAAUACUUAUAGAUGCGGCUCUCUAGGACAUGCAUGAAAUUAUCUAGGACGAAAAUUAUUGGCAUGCAUCACCUAGUUAUUAUUAUGACAAAAUAAGUAAAAAGAUCGAUAUCGUUUCCUAUGAGAAACCUAAAAAAAAGAGUUAGAUUGUGUGGAGUGUAUAUGUGUAUGUCUGAAUUAUACUUAAUUAUGUACUACGUAAAAUCAAAUACAUGAGUGGUCGUUGUCAAUAAAAGCAUGGACUGGUUUAGAUUGAUAGUUCUCAUUCGUUUAUGUAGCCAUUCCAUUUGGCUUUGUGUGUGUUUUUAUCUAACUCUAUUACAUGUUAUCAAUUU